rnacentral:rRNA from 1 species
GGGUUGUGAGGUUAAGCGACUAAGCGUACACGGUGGAUGCCCUGGCAGUCAGAGGCGAUGAAGGACGUGCUAAUCUGCGAAAAGCGUCGGUAAGGUGAUAUGAACCGUUAUAACCGGCGAUGUCCGAAUGGGGAAACCCAGUGUGAUUCGUCACACUAUCGUUAACUGAAUACAUAGGUUAACGAGGCGAACCGGGGGAACUGAAACAUCUAAGUACCCCGAGGAAAAGAAAUCAACCGAGAUUCCCCCAGUAGCGGCGAGCGAACGGGGAGCAGCCCAGAGUCUGAAUCAGCUUGUGUGUUAGUGGAACGGUCUGGAAAGUCCGACGGUACAGGGUGAUAGUCCCGUACACCAAAAUGCACAGGUUGUGAACUCGAAGAGUAGGGCGGGACACGUGGUAUCCUGUCUGAAUAUGGGGGGACCAUCCUCCAAGGCUAAAUACUCCUGACUGACCGAUAGUGAACCAGUACCGUGAGGGAAAGGCGAAAAGAACCCCGGCGAGGGGAGUGAAAAAGAACCUGAAACCGUGUACGUACAAGCAGUGGGAGCACCUUCGGGUGUGACUGCGUACCUUUUGUAUAAUGGGUCAGCGACUUAUAUUCUGUAGCAAGGUUAACCGUAUAGGGGAGCCGCAGGGAAACCGAGUCUUAACUGGGCGUUAAGUUGCAGGGUAUAGACCCGAAACCCGGUGAUCUAGCCAUGGGCAGGUUGAAGGUUGGGUAACACUAACUGGAGGACCGAACCGACUAAUGUUGAAAAAUUAGCGGAUGACUUGUGGCUGGGGGUGAAAGGCCAAUCAAACCGGGAGAUAGCUGGUUCUCCCCGAAAGCUAUUUAGGUAGCGCCUCGUGAACUCAUCUUCGGGGGUAGAGCACUGUUUCGGCUAGGGGGUCAUCCCGACUUACCAACCCGAUGCAAACUACGAAUACCGAAGAAUGUUAUCACGGGAGACACACGGCGGGUGCUAACGUCCGUCGUGAAGAGGGAAACAACCCAGACCGCCAGCUAAGGUCCCAAAGUCAUGGUUAAGUGGGAAACGAUGUGGGAAGGCACAGACAGCCAGGAUGUUGGCUUAGAAGCAGCCAUCAUUUAAAGAAAGCGUAAUAGCUCACUGGUCGAGUCGGCCUGCGCGGAAGAUGUAACGGGGCUAAACCAUGCACCGAAGCUGCGGCAGCGACGCUUAUGCGUUGUUGGGUAGGGGAGCGUUCUGUAAGCCUGCGAAGGUGACCUGUGAGGGUUGCUGGAGGUAUCAGAAGUGCGAAUGCUGACAUAAGUAACGAUAAAGCGGGUGAAAAGCCCGCUCGCCGGAAGACCAAGGGUUCCUGUCCAACGUUAAUCGGGGCAGGGUGAGUCGACCCCUAAGGCGAGGCCGAAAGGCGUAGUCGAUGGGAAACAGGUUAAUAUUCCUGUACUUGGUGUUACUGCGAAGGGGGGACGGAGAAGGCUAUGUUAGCCGGGCGACGGUUGUCCCGGUUUAAGCAUGUAGGCUGGUUAUCCAGGCAAAUCCGGAUAAUCAAGGCUGAGGUGUGAUGACGAGGCACUACGGUGCUGAAGUAACAAAUGCCCUGCUUCCAGGAAAAGCCUCUAAGCAUCAGGUAACAUCAAAUCGUACCCCAAACCGACACAGGUGGUCAGGUAGAGAAUACCAAGGCGCUUGAGAGAACUCGGGUGAAGGAACUAGGCAAAAUGGUGCCGUAACUUCGGGAGAAGGCACGCUGGUGUGUAGGUGAAGUCCCUGCGGAUGGAGCUGAGACCAGUCGAAGAUACCAGCUGGCUGCAACUGUUUAUUAAAAACACAGCACUGUGCAAACACGAAAGUGGACGUAUACGGUGUGACGCCUGCCCGGUGCCGGAAGGUUAAUUGAUGGGGUUAUCCGUAAGGAGAAGCUCUUGAUCGAAGCCCCGGUAAACGGCGGCCGUAACUAUAACGGUCCUAAGGUAGCGAAAUUCCUUGUCGGGUAAGUUCCGACCUGCACGAAUGGCGUAAUGAUGGCCAGGCUGUCUCCACCCGAGACUCAGUGAAAUUGAACUCGCUGUGAAGAUGCAGUGUACCCGCGGCAAGACGGAAAGACCCCGUGAACCUUUACUAUAGCUUGACACUGAACAUUGAGCCUUGAUGUGUAGGAUAGGUGGGAGGCUUUGAAGCGUGGACGCCAGUCUGCGUGGAGCCAACCUUGAAAUACCACCCUUUAAUGUUUGAUGUUCUAACGUUGGCCCCUUAUCGGGGUUGCGGACAGUGUCUGGUGGGUAGUUUGACUGGGGCGGUCUCCUCCCAAAGCGUAACGGAGGAGCACGAAGGUUAGCUAAUCCUGGUCGGACAUCAGGAGGUUAGUGCAAUGGCAUAAGCUAGCUUGACUGCGAGCGUGACGGCGCGAGCAGGUGCGAAAGCAGGUCAUAGUGAUCCGGUGGUUCUGAAUGGAAGGGCCAUCGCUCAACGGAUAAAAGGUACUCCGGGGAUAACAGGCUGAUACCGCCCAAGAGUUCAUAUCGACGGCGGUGUUUGGCACCUCGAUGUCGGCUCAUCACAUCCUGGGGCUGAAGUAGGUCCCAAGGGUAUGGCUGUUCGCCAUUUAAAGUGGUACGCGAGCUGGGUUUAGAACGUCGUGAGACAGUUCGGUCCCUAUCUGCCGUGGGCGCUGGAGAAUUGAGGGGGGCUGCUCCUAGUACGAGAGGACCGGAGUGGACGCAUCACUGGUGUUCGGGUUGUCAUGCCAAUGGCACUGCCCGGUAGCUAAAUGCGGAAGAGAUAAGUGCUGAAAGCAUCUAAGCACGAAACUUGCCCCGAGAUGAGUUCUCCCUGAGACUUUAAGUCUCCUGAAGGAACGUU